GAUGAACGCUGGCGGCGUGCCUAAUACAUGUAAGUCGAGCGAACAGACGAGGAGCUUGCUCCUCUGACGUUAGCGGCGGACGGGUGAGUAACACGUGGAUAACCUACCUAUAAGACUGGGAUAACUUCGGGAAACCGGAGCUAAUACCGGAUAAUAUAUUGAACCGCAUGGUUCAAUAGUGAAAGACGGUUUUGCUGUCACUUAUAGAUGGAUCCGCGCCGCAUUAGCUAGUUGGUAAGGUAACGGCUUACCAAGGCAACGAUGCGUAGCCGACCUGAGAGGGUGAUCGGCCACACUGGAACUGAGACACGGUCCAGACUCCUACGGGAGGCAGCAGUAGGGAAGCUUCGGCAAUGGGCGAAAGCCUGACGGAGCAACGCCGCGUGAGUGAUGAAGGUCUUCGGAUCGUAAAACUCUGUUAUUAGGGAAGAACAAAUGUGUAAGUAACUAUGCACGUCUUGACGGUACCUAAUCAGAAAGCCACGGCUAACUACGUG
rnacentral:rRNA from 1 species